GAUACAACACAACUAUAUAGAUUUUGAAUGCAUGUAGGGUACGCAUUAAUACUCGACGAUUUUCGUCAUAAAUCUAAAAAGUACAGAGGGAAUACCCAACAGAGUUUAAUUCGUUAUUUUAUUUUUUCAACCGAGACCCGAAACACGACACUCGGACUCCUCGCAUGGCUUACUUUUUAACUUUAAAUAAAGACUAUCGAGAAGGAAAAGAUAACG